ACUCCUACGGGAGGCAGCAGUAGGGAAUCUUCCACAAUGGGCGCAAGCCUGAUGGAGCAACACCGCGUGAGUGAAGAAGGGUUUCGGCUCGUAAAGCUCUGUUGUUAAAGAAGAACACGUAUGAGAGUAACUGUUCAUACGUUGACGGUAUUUAACCAGAAAGUCACGGCUAACUACGUGCCAGCAGCCGCGGUAAUACGUAGGUGGCAAGCGUUACCCGGAUUUAUUGGGCGUAAAGAGAGUGCAGGCGGUUUCUAAGUCUGAUGUGAAAGCCUUCGGCUUAACCGGAGAAGUGCAUCGGAAACUGGAUAACUUGAGUGCAGAAGAGGGUAGUGGAACUCCAUGUGUAGCGGUGGAAUGCGUAGAUAUAUGGAAGAACACCAGUGGCGAAGGCGGCUACCUGGUCUGCAACUGACGCUGAGACUCGAAAGCAUGGGUAGCGAACAGGAUUAGAUACCCUGGUAGGAUAGCC
rnacentral:rRNA from 1 species